rnacentral:rRNA from 1 species
UACAGAGGGUGCAAGCGUUAAUCGGAAUUAUUGGGCGUAAAGCGCGCGCAGGUGGUUUCUUAAGUCUGAUGUGAAAGCCCACGGCUCAACCGUGGAGGGUCAUUGGAAACUGGGGAACUUGAGUGCAGAAGAGGAAAGUGGAAUUCCAAGUGUAGCGGUGAAAUGCGUAGAGAUUUGGAGGAACACCAGUGGCGAAGGCGACUUUCUGGUCUGUAACUGACACUGAGGCGCGAAAGCGUGGGGAGCGAACAGG